AGUGAACGCUGGCGGUAGGCCUAACACAUGCAAGUCGAACGGCAGCACAGUAAGAUCUUGCUCUUACGGGUGGCGAGUGGCGGACGGGUGAGGAAUACAUCGGACUCUACUUUUUCGUGGGGGAUAACGUAGGGAAACUUACGCUAAUACCGCAUACGACCUACGGGUGAAAGCAGGGGAUCUUCGGACCUUGCGCGAUUGAAUGAGCCGAUGUCGGAUUAGCUAGUUGGCGGGGUAAAGGCCCACCAAGGCGACGAUCCGUAGCUGGUCUGAGAGGAUGAUCAGCCACACUGGAACUGAGACACGGUCCAGACUCCUACGGGAGGCAGCAGUGGGGAAUAUUGGACAAUGGGCGCAAGCCUGAUCCAGCCAUACCGCGUGGGUGAAGAAGGCCUUCGGGUUGUAAAGCCCUUUUGUUGGGAAAGAAAAGCAGCAGGUUAAUACCCCGCUGUUCUGACGGUACCCAAAGAAUAAGCACCGGCUAACUUCGUG
rnacentral:rRNA from 1 species